UACGGAGGGUGCAAGCGUUGUUCGGAAUCACUGGGCGUAAAGGGUGCGUAGGCGGCCGCGCAAGUCUGGCGUGAAAGCCCCGGGCUCAGCCCGGGAAGGGCGCUCGAAACGGCGCGGCUCGAGUGCCGGAGGGGAGAGUGGAAUUCCUGGUGUAGCGGUGAAAUGCGUAGAUAUCUGGAGGAACACCGGUGGCGAAGGCGGCAUCCUGGACCAAUAUUGACGCUGAGGAGCGAAAGCCAGGGGAGCAAACGGG
rnacentral:rRNA from 1 species